CGGGGUGCAGCAGGCGCGAAAACUUUACAAUGCUGGCAACAGCGAUAAGGGGACCUCGAGUGCCAGGAUACAAUCUUGGCUGUCGCGAUGCCUAAAAAGCAUAGCAUAUCAAGGGCCGGGCAAGACCGGUACCAGCCGCCGCGGUAACACUGGUGGCUUGAGUUGUAACCGCUAUUAUUGGGUCUAAAGGGUCUGUGUCCGGCAGGAUAAGUUUUUUGGGAAAUCCAGCUGAAUCAACAGUUGGGCUUUCAGAAGAUACUGUUAGGCUCGAGACCGUGAGAGGUGAGAGGUACUUCAGGGGUAGGGGUGAAAUCUUGUAAUCCUUGAAGGACCAUCCAGUGGGGAAGGCGUCUCACCAGAACGGAUCUGACGGCAAGGGACGAAAGCUAGGGGCACGAACCGGAUUAGAUACCCGGGUAGUCCUAGCCGUAAACGAUACUCGCUAGGUGUCAGCCCCGGUGCGACCGUGGUUGGUGCUGUAGGGAAGCCGUGAAGCGAGCCACCUGGGAAGUACGGCCGCAAGGCUGAAACUUAAAGGAAUCGGCGGGGGAGCACAAGGGCGAAUUCGCG
rnacentral:rRNA from 1 species